UCUGAGCACAUGCUUGAUAUGAUUUCAAUUUUCUUGAAUUUAUUGAGGUUAUUUUGUGUCCUACCAUGUGGUCUAUCUUUGAAAAUGUUCCAUGUGCAUUUGAAAAGAAUGUGGAUUUUGCUUCUCUUGGGUGAAAGGUUCUGCAUAUAUAUCUGCUAAGUC